rnacentral:lncRNA from 1 species
AAAAGAUUUAAUGCCUCAAGAUUACUUUAACUCUUUCCCCAAGCAGAUGCCAAGUUCAAGCAUUUGGCUCUUAAAAACUCCUAUUAUUAAGAAAUACUGUGUUGCUUGCUAGGAAAAAAGCUUUUAAGACCCAGUAAAAAAACUAACCUGCUUAGGACAUGACAAAGUUGGCACAUGUGCCUGUACUGGUUUAACACAGGUUUGAUCCUAGGUCUUUAUUUAAAAGAUAGUUUCCAGCUAUAAGAGAAUUUAAAACCCUCACUGCAAGUGUAUUACAUAAAACACUAUCACUCUGUCUCCCAAAGAGACUCAAAGUAAAAAUAAAAGCGAGAACUCCCACUAAUUUGUGAAAAUUCUCAAAGGAAGGGAUAAGGAGACCACUACUACUCCUGCUGCCCUCCUCCCUGCCACCUUGCCUAGUUCAUAAGACAGGAGGAAAAGAGAGAAAGCAAAAAGUUAGAAAGAAACAAAAGUCAGAUAAAUAGCCAGACAACCUUGGCACCACCACGUGGCCCUAGGAGUUAAAAAAAAUAAUAAUAAUAACAUCAACCCCCGACCUAAACUACUUGUGUUAUCUGUAAAUUCCAGACAUUGUAUGAAAAAAGCAUUGCAAAACUUUCUGUUCUGUUAGCUGAUUCAUGUAGCCCCCAGUCACGUUUCCCAUGCUUGCUCAAUUUAUCACGACCCUUUCACGUGGACCCUUAAAGUCGUAAGCCUUUAAACAGGCCAAGAAUUUCUUUUUUGGGGAGCUCAGCUCUUAAGACGCAAGUCUGCCGAUGCUCCCGGCCGAAUAAAC